GAUGAACGCUAGCUACAGGCUUAACACAUGCAAGUCGAGGGGCAGCAUGACCUAGCAAUAGGUUGAUGGCGACCGGCGCACGGGUGAGUAACACGUAUCCAACCUGCCGAUUAUUCCGGGAUAGCCUUUCGAAAGAAAGAUUAAUACUGGAUAGCAUAACGAGAAGGCAUCUUCUUGUUAUUAAAGAAUUUCGAUAAUCGAUGGGGAUGCGUUCCAUUAGUUUGUUGGCGGGGUAACGGCCCACCAAGACAUCGAUGGAUAGGGGUUCUGAGAGGAAGGUCCCCCACAUUGGAACUGAGACACGGUCCAAACUCCUACGGGAGGCAGCAGUGAGGAAUAUUGGUCAAUGGACGAGAGUCUGAACCAGCCAAGUAGCGUGAAGGAUGACUGCCCUAUGGGUUGUAAACUUCUUUUAGAUGGGAAUAAAGUGGGCCACGUGUGGCUUUUUGUAUGUACCAUACGAAUAAGGAUCGGCUAACUCCGUG
rnacentral:rRNA from 1 species